AGCGAACGCUGGCGGCAGGCCUAACACAUGCAAGUCGAACGAACUCUUCGGAGUUAGUGGCGGACGGGUGAGUAACACGUGGGAACGUGCCUUUUGGUUCGGAAUAACUCAGGGAAACUUGUGCUAAUACCGAAUGUGCCCUUCGGGGGAAAGAUUUAUCGCCAUUAGAGCGGCCCGCGUCUGAUUAGCUAGUUGGUGAG
rnacentral:rRNA from 1 species